rnacentral:rRNA from 1 species
UACGAAGGGGGCUAUCGUUGUUCGGAAUUACUGGGCGUAAAGCGCACGUAGGCGGCUCUGUAAGUUGGGGGUGAAAUCCCGAGGCUCAACCUCGGAAUUGCCUUCAAGACUGCAGGGCUUGAGUUCGGGAGGGGUGAGUGGAAUUCCCAGUGUAGAGGUGAAAUUCGUAGAGAUUGGGAAGAACACCAGUGGCGAAGGCGGCUCACUGGCCCGUAACUGACGCUGAGGUGCGAAAGCGUGGGGAGAAAACAGG